UUCCCGCAAAACAAAUCUGCAGUGAAAGAUGCAAAAAAAAACGCAGAAGGCUCUUGUGAAGCAUUGUUAAUACGACACGCGUUGUAUGAAUUAGUAAAAUAAGAAAUUGUAUUACACAGUAAAUCUUUCUAUAACGAGGUUUCCAUAUAGCAUGGUAGACUUAUGAUUUUAUGUUUCUAUAUAGCAACUUGAUUAACUUGAGCUGUUUUACCUUAUAGUAUGAACUUUUCUAUUAUAUUUUUAUAAUUGAAAUUAGUUGGGAAUUGCUAUUAGUAAGGAAAUGAUAAACAUAAGAUGAAACAACAGACACGUGACAGAUAAAGAAGGAUAAAAAAGAAAAAAGGAAUAAUGACAGGUUCAGAAUAGGAGAAAACAUAACUAAUUUGCUUAAUUUGUUUAUUUAGUAUAUGUACGUCAAUUUUUUGGUGUAAUAAUUGGAGUAAGGUAAUUACCUAAUUAGUUAUAUUCCGUCCAUUCCAAACCUUUUAUUACUCCACUUUUGUUUUCUGUUACUUUAUUUUUCUAUUAUAUUUGUUGUUCUACCUUAUAGGACGGAAAAAGUAUUAAAAAUAGAGGGACCUAAACAUCGUUUCUAUGUUAAUUACAGUAAUGAUUAUGAACUGGUCUCUAUAAUUAAUUAAGUUACAACAUUCUUUUCUCAAAUGAUUGAAGCGAUCUUUAAGACAAAUCGAACAUUUUGUUGGAUUUAUUAACAAUUUAAAAUAAAAGUUGAACUGUUUGUUCGACUACACUUUGAUGAUAAAUCCUUAUAAUUUAUUAUUAUAAAUUAUUAUUCGUUGGUAAUUUAUUACUACAGAUUCUUAUUAGUUAGUAAUUUAUUAUUAGAGAUUAUUAUUAAUUGAUAAUUUAUUAUUAAAAGAAAACUAUGCCCACUUCUGUAUUUUGCUUGUUAAUAGUUUUAACAAGUUGAUAUUAGACUCUACGUGUAAUGUAAACACAAUAUACAUAUAAAUAUUUAACAUUAACUGUGUUGUUAACAUUAUAAGUGUGCUGCUCAAUUCGUUUCGAAGUUACAUAACGUAUUCACAUCACGUUGGUCGAAAUGGGCGUAGAAUGGAAUUGAACUAAUUAAAAAUGACUUUGUUUCAUUCAAUAGGCAAUAAAAUAGUAAAAGAAAAUUGACAAGGUGAUGAUAUAUUAAAUUUAAAUCAUAGUUUUUGUUCCAAAAUUUUUUUCUUUUAAUAACAUGAAAAAAAAUAGUAAUUUCCAAGAUGUUAAAAAUAAUCUACUUCACGCUACAGCUACAAGUGUUUUUCAUAUGUGUAUAGAAUUUCGAUUCAAGUCCACAUAUGAAUUUUUAGGUAUCACGUGAACAUAUUUGAAAAACAGCAUUUCGAGAAAAACGCGUUCAAAGUUUCAUGUUUAAUCAUCUUAACGAGUAAUUCAUUCAAAUUUCUUCCUAAAAUCACUCAGUUAUUAAUAAUGCUAUCACUUUAGGGGAACAAUUAUUGUAAUAGAGAACUAAUUUGAUUGAUAAAUUAGUUUGCUUCUCCUUUCUCUAAUUACAAACACAUAGUUGUAUAAUAUAGGGUCGACCUCGGUAGUUUUAGUGAUAAACAAAUAUAACGUUGACAAUUUUAAAAUAUUGUUUAAUAUAAUCUGCAAUGAAAAUAUUAACAAAAAAUUCUAUUUUUUUGAUCUAAAAUAAAAGUGUACACCUUUAAAUGGUCUGCGCUGGGUCGACAGGAGGAUUUCGUGAAGUUUUAUUGGAUUGAUCAACAGACUGUGUAUGUUUAUGCAUUUAGGACAAUUCGAAAUAUUGGAAUAUAUAUGACAACGUGUGCAAAUGCAAAAAUAUAUCAAAAGUGAACAAUAAUGUACAUGGUAUGCCGUAUAGAUGAUUAGACAUAUGUACUUUCAUUUUAGUUUCACUUAUUUUUCUGAAUUUUUGAAAAUACGAAAUUGCAUAUAAAUUCACAGUCGAAUUGUUAUAAAUAAAAGUACCUUCGCAACUUAACGCUACAAACAGUUAAGAAAUUUUUUAAAAAUUUGUUUGAACUUAUUGUAAGAGAAAUAACAUUACUUUCCAAUCUAUCUAAUAUAUAAAAUAUCAACAAUAAUAUGUUAUAUCAUUUAGAAGAUAAGACAGACUUUCACUUAAGUUUCAAUUCCCUUUCUGUAUCCGUGAAAAUAUGAAUUUGCAUUAAAUUCAAUUUCCGUGGAACGUCCAUUUACUCCAUUUACAACUACUCCAGAAUGAUUUUAUUCCUCGCCGUGCGAAUAAGAGAUGCGUAGACGCAUUUUGGUAGAAUCUGGUGGGGGAAUGUGGCGGCGCGCGAUAUGAUAGCGUUUUGAGAUGGUUCAGUUCCGCGCCGUCUUUCACGUGCGCGACACAUUUCGGGAAACGAGAAAUGUUAUCGGCGCCGGGAUUCGUCGACGGAACGUCCACAAUGCGAUUCCGCGUGUAUACUAUCCUAUUCCUUAUUAAUGUUUUAAUCUCACGACUCUACGAACACGAUAAACAAACAUUUUCCCCCGUUUUUAUGUGAAAUUUGUUCGCUCUUUUUUGUUCUCAAUGGUUUCUCGUUUUACUCCAAUUUAGCAACCCCUCGAACGUCCAACGUUAACGUGACAAAUUUAGAUAAACAUCGCAUUAUAUUAUCGCAAGUAUCUCUUUCGAGCUUCGUUCAAUGUUAACGUUCGACGUUCGAGGGUCGAUGGACGAUAAAUAUUGUAAAUUUCGUUAAGUGUUAAAGAAUUCGAAGAGUGACAGUGUGUAUAGUGUGUCCCGUGGAUAUAAUCAUGGAUAAGCCAGCCUUUCGGAUCGUCCGUCUCAGAAUGGCAGGCCCGCGGUCCAUUCUUCGUCGUUGAUGGGGACAAUUAGAAGAGCUUUGUCCGGCGACCACGCGUUGUCCGGCUGCUCGGCAACUUGAGUCCCAACGAGAGGACCGCCCGCCAACCCCUAAUGUUUGUAUCCGGUCCCCAGGACGUUCACUUCCGACCCGAGAGUGCUACUACGGGUUUGCUGACCAUCGACUUCUUCGACUCGGCUCCUGAUCGCUCGCGAACGUUCUCCGCGGUCUGUUCCAAAAAGUUAUCGGUCUCUGCUGGAUCGCAGCGGAGACAAACGAAAUAUUGUCGGAGAACCAGUUGUUGAAGUUACAAAUUUUCGCCAGGGGGGUGCAAACACUGGCGGAUCUGGACUUGUCAAAGUCUGAAGCUAAUUAGUAGACUGCGGAUGUUCACGCGCGCAAAAUAUGAAAAUGUAUUGGGUGUUUCGUUUUUUUCCUCCCGAGGAAGUGAAUGUUGUAAUUAAUGAUAGGUUUAUUAAUAUACGAGACUAUAGGUGCUAAGGGGUACCAACUGUGAUACACGUUUUUAGUUCCUUUUUCCUAUGAGUUGCAGUUCUAUCUUUACUGUACUUACACUACCUUUUUCUGUUCCUCGCUGAUGCAACCUUUUGUAACACACGUUCUCUAAUAAACAUUUAUUUCCUAAUUAAAUCAACACAUUGUUAAUACAUCCGAAUUGUAUUCUUAUAAUUACACGCCCUUUUUAUCGGUGAAGCUAUCAAAUAAUGUUUUUAUAAAACGUAUUUGGUACAACAAGACAAACUGAAUGGCUUAAAUGAUUUCUUUGUAAGUACGGGGGAGAUUUAACAAACAAAUUAACUUUUGCAAGGGGAACUUUAUAUAUUUUUAUCUAUGAUACUUAAG